rnacentral:hammerhead_ribozyme from 1 species
AUCCAGUCGACGAGUCCUAAAUAGGACGAAACACGCUUCCUGAAU